rnacentral:rRNA from 1 species
UACGAAGGGGGCUAGCGUUGCUCGGAAUCACUGGGCGUAAAGGGCGCGUAGGCGGCCUGUUAAGUCGAACGUGAAAUCCCCGGGCUCAACCCGGGAACUGCGUCCGAAACUGGCAGGCUUGAAUCCGGGAGAGGGAUGUGGAAUUCCAGGUGUAGCGGUGAAAUGCGUAGAUAUCUGGAGGAACAUCGGUGGCGAAGGCGACAUCCUGGACCGGUAUUGACGCUGAGGCGCGAAAGCCAGGGGAGCAAACGGG